CAAGGCUGGAGAACACAAGCACACCUUCAGUGUUGGUGUCAUUUGAAGAUGUGGCUGUGGACUUUACCCAGGAGGAAUGGCAGAUCAUGGACAAUACUCAGCGGACUCUGUACAGGGAUGUGAUUCUUGAGAUCUAUAACAAUCUACUGUCCCUGGGGUGCUACAUAACAAAGCCUGAUGUGAUCUGCAAAUUGGAGCAAGAAUCAGCACCAUGGACAGUGGAUAAAUCUGUACACCAGGCACUACCAGGUAGGUUAGUACAUGGGGGCAGGGAAGCUCAAUAAAUGUUGACUAACAUUCUGGAAUUCAUUCAGAUGUUUUUACACUUUUUUCCUAUGGGACAGCU